rnacentral:rRNA from 1 species
UACGAAGGGGACUAGCGUUGUUCGGAAUUACUGGGCGUAAAGAGCUCGUAGGCGGUUCGGUAAGUCGGAUGUGAAAACUCAGGGCUCAACCCCGAGACGCCAUCCGAUACUGCUGUGACUUGAAUCUGGUAGGGGAGCACGGAAUUCCUGGUGUAGCGGUGAAAUGCGCAGAUAUCAGGAGGAACACCGGUGGCGAAGGCGGAUCUCUGGGCCUGUCCUGACGCUCAGGCGCGAAAGCUAGGGGAGCAAACAGG